AAAAGUCGCUUCUUAUGCAUGAAAAAUGAAAACACUGAUUCUAUCUGGAUUCGUUUCAACAACUAUAUUUAUAUUGCUAAACAUUUCAGUUUAUCAGGUGACGGACGGUCAGAAAGUAACUUUGGCAAGGCAGUAUAAAAGAAUCGUAUUUGAUAAAAUAAACCGUGGUUCUUUCAACGUAUCACAAUGCUUGUCAGAUCUACUGAACUGCUGGGAAGUUGUCAGAGGAGAUGUGUUGUGUGCAUAUGACAAGUAUAAGGAAUCAAUUUGUGGAUUUUUCAAAGAUAAUUGCCAUGAUUUUUAUGGAAAGCUUGAUAGUAAUUGGGGAUUAGAGUAUACUUUGUACGAGUCCUACUGUCAGGACAGUUCGCAGUCUUGGACCAAGUAGCUAAGGAUUGCACUGGACAACGGGAAAUUCAUUAUGGAUCAAAGAAACUUUAAUGGAAUAAAACACCUGAGCCCUUUUUAUUUCUAAUUAAAUCAAGUUUCAU